UUGUGUAAAUUUGUAAUUCACUACUUAGUUUGCUAGCAACGCAGAUAUCUAGCUUGUUUGGAACAAGGGGGUUAAACGUCUUGUCAGCAGUGAAUAUUAGCCCAGAGCACUGCUGGAAAAAAAUUGAUCCCUUUCAAAGCAUCCGGUCCUUCAACCUCCCAAUGAAAAGGUUAAGAAGCACACAGAGCCGCAGUUGGAGCCGGCAGAGGCAGCCAGGCGUCUCACCCUGAACUGGCCGUAGAUGGAGAUCAUGGAGAACAGCAGCACGACGGCCAGGGGCCCCCAGAAGUCGGGGUUAUCGCGCACAACUUGUCGGUUGAACCCCAGAGAAGGCAUUGGCAUCAGAACACAUCGGAUCUUGUAGUAGAUGUCCUUCAGGUCAAUGUCAAGCUCCUCUCUUUCAAUGCAAGCAAAGAGAACAGAAGGGUCAUACUCAGAUUUAAAUUUUAAAAAACAUUGCAUGGGAGUGGGUACAAAUGCUCCAGAGUACCUAAGGCAAUUUAGCACCAUUUAGGUACAUUCUGAAUUAUAAUGUUAAAAGUUUUAUUGAUCUUAAAAGGGAGCCCAAAUCUUGUUCGAGCAGUUAAUCAGCAUUCAUUACGUUUUUCAAAUAACGGAUAUACACACAACAAGGGCUUGUUGUCUUCCGGAUCAUCUUCCUCAACUUCCAGCAGCCAGCCAUAACCACGCUGUCUCAGGAACGUGGUCGCAUAUGCAUCUUUACCGGAGUCCGCACCCAUGUUGAGUUUGACAUCGGGCGCUUCAAUUGUUCCACUAAGCUCUGUAGAGGGGGCAACGGUAAUCAUUUUAUAGCAUAGAAACAUUUCAGUGCAACUUGGCCAACAACGUAAGCCCCAGAAGAAACGUAUCAGUAAUAAUGUAAUGCCUUAAUAAAUGGGGACGGGAUACGUUUCAGGCAUUAUAGACACAACAUUCUAUGAUUUUCCGUGUAGUGUUAGCAGCCAAAUACUCAAAAAAUAGUCAUAUGGCAUAUCUGUA